rnacentral:pre_miRNA from 9 species
UCUCGAUAGCGUAAAAGUUAACUCAAAUUUGUAUGGAGUUGGAACAGCUUCCCAGCGUUUGCCGCUAGAGGCGCUGUUCUAACUCCAUACAAAUUUGAGUUGACUUUUACGUAGUGUG